GACAGAGGGUGCAAACGUUGUUCGGAAUUACUGGGCGUAAAGCGCGUGUAGGCUGCUCGGAAAGUCGGAUGUGAAAGCCCUGGGCUCAACCUAGGAAGUGCAUUCGAAACUACCGAGCUGGAGUUCUGGAGAGGAAGGCGGAAUUCUCGGUGUAGAGGUGAAAUUCGUAGAUAUCGAGAGGAACACCGGUGGCGAGGGCGGCCUUCUGGACAGUGACUGACGCUGAGACGCGAAAGCGUGGGGAGCAAACAGG
rnacentral:rRNA from 1 species